UCUACCAAGAGGUCAACACAGAAGCUAUGGCCAACUUCAAAACCAGCUCACGCUCCCAAGUACGAGCCACUUGCACGACUGGCUCUAUGUGGUCACGGCACAGCCAGCAAAGACUGCUGUGGUGAAUUUACCCUUCCUGGCAUGUGAGGAGAGGGCUCACGCUGUGAGGUGACAUGUGCAUGCAUUCCUGUCACCUGUGCCACUUACUAGUCAUUUAAGCUCAUUAUCUCUCUGAAGUGCGGUGCCCUCAACUCAAAAACGAGGGUCCCAGCAUCGAGGACUGAAAGUGAAAUCUGCACCGAGUGGUCAACGGAGUCCCCGUCACAUGGAGAGGGCUCAGUAAGCGUGAGCUGCCGACAGAACCACAGCCACGAAGUGUGAGCCUGAUCGGCCCCACCCGGACCUCGGAAACGGCACAGGUCUGUGAGGCAAAAUCACUGCUCUGCAGAGAUCGUAUGUGUGCAAAGAGUUUUCUUCUUCAGACGCACUGUGUUUUGUGCCGUUAAGAUACAACACGAUGCCCCCAGCGUGCCGAGCCUCAGGAGGUCUGCUCCGUCCUGGUGACUCCACCACCGCACGAAUCACACGGCUACGCAAACGGCCUUGGAAAGAGAUCAGAUCUUCCCAUUCUGACACGUACACACAACCUGUAAAUCUUGUAUUCUGAGUCGGCCCGAACAUAAGGGUUGCAGCAACCGCAGGACUGGAUCUACAUUAGACGUGCGGAGGACGGAGCUGGCAUCCAGAACCUGAAGCCACCUCUUCCCUUUGUUGUCUUGCUUCUGUUGUUCAGGGGUCUCCCCCAGAAUCGCGAACUUCACGCACCCAGACGCUUCAAAGAAGAAUCACGCUUUUGGGCCACAGUCCAGGGAAAAACACCAGUCCAAACUUCCUGAAAGCACAAAGCUGCCUGCUGCUGUGUACGUGUAGGAGAGGCUGAGACAAAACCCUCCCCUGCCGCACCCUCUGCAGACGGACCCGGGCUGUGUUCAGGACUCACAAGAGCAAAGGAUGAAACGGAGUCUUACAGUUUGGGAACAUUAACUGGUGACGUUGGAGGCUCACCCAAGAAAAGAGCUCCGACCUUAGAGCCCUGAAGACACGUAGCCCUUGGAGUUCACGUGGAAUUCGGCAGGAGUUGACCCAGGUCGUGUCCGUUGGCAAGGCUGAGGGAUUAGUCUGUGUGGAGGCACACAGAUGCCCGGACACAGUGCGGACUCCAGAGUAGAGCGCCAGACCCCAUAGUCCCAGGAAGGCACGCGUUUUCAGCAAAACUUUAAAUCUGCAAUAGAGGGGACUUUAAACCAUGCUGCUAAAUAUCACUGGAAAAUGUACUGUGAGGUCUAAAUUAACAGAUCUCUAGCAGACUCUCUUGUGCUCGUGUCUGAUGGAUUUGCCCCGCAUCCAAUCCUACCUUCCUGUUAAAGCUCUGAUGCUUUGCUUCUAGUGGUAGGAUUGAAGACGGGACAUAAAUUGUGCCACCUACCAUCAAAACAGAUUUUUGCAAAACCGAGGCUGAAUAAAGAUUUUAAACUCUGUACUCCAAGUGAAUUUCACGUCUUGAUUCCGUUCAAGCAAUUAUCGAGGAUCCAUUAGGCACGAUGGCUUAUUGACAGGAAUACGAACGCAGUGUUUGUAGCCCAAGCAGGCGGAGAAGGAAGAAC